GGGGAAUAUUGCACAAUGGGCGCAAGCCUGAUGCAGCCAUGCCGCGUGUGUGAAGAAGGCCUUCGGGUUGUAAAGCACUUUCAGUAAGGAGGAAAGGUUAGUAGUUAAUACCUGCUAGCUGUGACGUUACUUACAGAAGAAGCACCGGCUAACUCCGUGCCAGCAGCCGCGGUAAUACGGAGGGUGCGAGCGUUAAUCGGAAUUACUGGGCGUAAAGCGUACGCAGGCGGUUUGUUAAGCGAGAUGUGAAAGCCCCGGGCUCAACCUGGGAACUGCAUUUCGAACUGGCAAACUAGAGUGUGAUAGAGGGUGGUAGAAUUUCAGGUGUAGCGGUGAAAUGCGUAGAGAUCUGAAGGAAUACCGAUGGCGAAGGCAGCCACCUGGGUCAACACUGACGCUCAUGUACGAAAGCGUGGGGAGCAAACGGG
rnacentral:rRNA from 1 species